rnacentral:rRNA from 1 species
UACGGAGGAUCCGAGCGUUAUCCGGAUUUAUUGGGUUUAAAGGGUGCGUAGGUGGUUUGAUAAGUCAGCGGUGAAAGUUUGCAGCUUAACUGUAAAAAUGCCGUUGAAACUGUCGGACUUGAGUGUAAAUGAGGUAGGCGGAAUGCGUGGUGUAGCGGUGAAAUGCAUAGAUAUCACGCAGAACUCCGAUUGCGAAGGCAGCUUACUAAACUACUACUGACGCUCAGGCACGAAGGCGUGGGGAUCAAACAGGAUUAGAUACCCGCGUAGU